UCAAACUUGAAAGUGUUUACGAGUAGACAUAGGAAAAGGAUGCGGAUGUCGCCAAGAUAUUGGGCUGGAUUUGAACUUCCUAGAAGAAGUGAGGCACAGGGAUUGAGAAUAUUUCUUCAUAUUCCCUCAGUAAUUGGGACCAGCACAGACUCA